rnacentral:rRNA from 1 species
UACGUAGGGUGCAAGCGUUGUCCGGAAUUAUUGGGCGUAAAGAGCUCGUAGGCGGUCUGUCGCGUCUGGUGUGAAAAUCCAGGGCUUAACCCUGGACCUGCAUCGGGUACGGGCAGACUAGAGUGCGGUAGGGGAGAUCGGAAUUCCUGGUGUAGCGGUGAAAUGCGCAGAUAUCUGGAGGAACACCGGUGGCGAAGGCGGCGAUCCUGGACCGGCAUUGACGCUGAGGCGCGAAAGCCAGGGGAGCAAAGCGGGAUUAAG